rnacentral:rRNA from 1 species
CACGUAGGGUGCGAGCGUUGUCCGGAAUUAUUGGGCGUAAAGAGCUCGUAGGCGGUGUGUCGCGUCGGCCGUGAAAACCUGCAGCUUAACUGUGGGCUUGCGGUCGAUACGGGCAUCACUGGAGUUCGGCAGGGGAGACCGGAAUUCCUGGUGUAGCGGUGAAAUGCGCAGAUAUCAGGAGGAACACCGGUGGCGAAGGCGGAUCUCUGGGCCAUAACUGACGCUGAGGAGCGAAAGCAUGGGGAGCGAACAGG